rnacentral:rRNA from 1 species
UACGGAGGGAGCAAGCGUUACUCGGAAUUAUUGGGCGUAAAGGGCUCGUAGGCGGCCAACUAAGUCGGAUGUGAAAUCCCCAGGCUUAACCUGGGAACUGCAUCCGAUACUGGAUGGCUUGAAUCCGGGAGAGGGAUGCAGAAUUCCAGGUGUAGCGGUGAAAUGCGUAGAUAUCUGGAGGAACACCGGUGGCGAAGGCGGCAUCCUGGACCGGCAUUGACGCUGAGGCGCGAAAGCCAGGGGAGCAAACGGG